GACGAACGCUGGCGGCGUGCUUAACACAUGCAAGUCGAACGGAAAGGCCCUGCUUUUGUGGGGUGCUCGAGUGGCGAACGGGUGAGUAACACGUGUGUAACCUGCCCUUGACUUUGGUAUAACUUCAGGAAACUGGGGCUAAUACCGGAUAGGAGCUCCUGCAGCAUGGUGGGGGUUGGAAAGUUGCGGCGGUUGGGGAUGGACUCGCGGCUUAUCAGCUUGUUGGUGGGGUAGUGGCUUACCAAGGCUUUGACGGAUAGCCGGCCUGAGAGGGUGAACGGCCACAUGGGGACUGAGGGACGGAGCAGACUCCUACGGGAGGCAGCAGUGGGGAAUAUUGCACAAUGGGCGGAAGCCGGAGGCAGCAACGCCGCGUGCGGGAUGACGGCUUUCGGGGUGUAAACCGCUUUCGCCUGUGACGAAGCGGGAGUGACGGUAAUGGGUAAAGAAGCACCGGCUAACUACGUG
rnacentral:rRNA from 1 species